rnacentral:rRNA from 1 species
GGGAAUAUUGCACAAUGGGCGAAAGCCUGAUGCAGCAACGCCGCGUGAAGGAAGAAGGCCUUCGGGUCGUAAACUUCUGUCCUUGGGGAAGAAGAACUGACGGUACCCAAGGAGGAAGCCCCGGCUAACUACGUGCCAGCAGCCGCGGUAAUACGUAGGGGGCAAGCGUUAUCCGGAAUUAUUGGGCGUAAAGAGUACGUAGGUGGCAACCUAAGCGCAGGGUUUAAGGCAAUGGCUCAACCAUUGUUCGCCCUGCGAACUGGGAUGCUUGAGUGCAGGAGAGGAAAGCGGAAUUCCUAGUGUAGCGGUGAAAUGCGUAGAUAUUAGGAGGAACACCAGUGGCGAAGGCGGCUUUCUGGACUGUAACUGACACUGAGGUACGAAAGCGUGGGGAGCAAACAAG